rnacentral:piRNA from 1 species
UGGAGAAUUUCUCAAGAUCCGUUCAUGCUA